ACAAGUACCGUGAGGGAAAGUUGCAAAGCACUUUGAAGAGAGAGUUAAAGAGGACGUGAAACCGAUAAGGUGGAAACGGAUAGAGCCAACGUAUCUGGCUUGCAUUCAGCUGUUAUAUGGGUUCGGACUGGCCUGGCGAUCCUGCUUCUGGUUGCCUCGUAGGUCGUAAGUAGCUCAAAUGGUAGUGCAUUUGCAAGUGGAGUGCGCUGAGGUGUGUGGAGCAGCGAUUCGAUCUUUGUCUUGAGGACACUUUAUGUGAACCCCGGGCGUUGGGAAAAUUGUUUGCUCUGCAUUACCGCCAAAGGAGAGGCCUCUGGUGAAUUGGAGUUUAAUCGCGUUGACUGCUUGUAACGGCCGCAUGCGACGCGUGCUCGUUGUCUAUGUGAUUGGAUUUCAUUUCCCUUCUCCGGUGGAUCUCGGUGUAAAAGUUGGUCAUCUAUCCGACCCGUCUUGAAACACGGACCAAGGAGUUUAGCGUAUGCGCGAGUCAUUGAGUAUUGAAACUCAAAGGCGUAAUGAAAGUGAAUUGAAAAUGAUAUGCGAUCCUGUAUGCCUCGGCGUGCGGGAGCAGCAUAGCCCCGUCCCGAUCGCUUGCGAUGGGGCGGAGGUAGAGCGUAUUCGCUGAGACCCGAAAGAUGGUGAACUAUUCCUGAGCAGGAUGAAGCCAGAGGAAACUCUGGUGGAAGUCCGAAGCGGUUCUGACGUGCAAAUCGAUCGUCUGACUUGGGUAUAGGGGCGAAAGACUAAUCGAACCAUCUAGUAGCUGGUUCCUUCCGAA
rnacentral:rRNA from 1 species